UACGUAGGGUGCGAGCGUUAAUCGGAAUUACUGGGCGUAAAGCGUGCGCAGGCGGUGAUGUAAGACAGGUGUGAAAUCCCCGGGCUUAACCUGGGAACUGCAUUUGUGACUGCAUCGCUGGAGUGCGGCAGAGAGGGAUGGAAUUCCGCGUGUAGCAGUGAAAUGCGUAGAUAUGCGGAGGAACACCGAUGGCGAAGGCAAUCCCCUGGGCCUGCACUGACGCUCAUGCACGAAAGCGUGGGGAGCAAACAGG
rnacentral:rRNA from 1 species